GUAUACCUUCCGGGGAUAUCAGCUUUUUUGUAUCAUCUUCCUGAGGUCCUGUGCAUUUCCGUAGUCACAUAUAUGCCCCUAACCUUACUCUAGGGAAAUUUCUAGAAUCAAGAAAAUACAUUGCAAUGAUAGGAGAGACCACUCUCUCAGGUUUGAAUAUUCAGCUGACUGUUAGAGUCCUUGGCAAUAAGAUUGUUAUUU
rnacentral:lncRNA from 1 species